rnacentral:rRNA from 1 species
CCUACGGGUGGCUGCAGUGAGGAAUAUUGGUCAAUGGACGAGAGUCUGAACCAGCCAUGUAGCGUGAAGGAUGACUGCCCUAUGGGUUUUACACUUCUUUUAUAUGGGAAUAAAACGUUCCACUUGUGGGAUUUUGUAUGUACCAUAUGAAUAAGGAUCGGCUAACUACGUGCCAGCAGCCGCGGUAAUACGGAGGAUCCGAGCGUUAUCCGGAUUUAUUGGGUUUAAAGGGAACGUAGGUGGAUUGUUAAGUCAGUUGUGAAAGUUUGCGGCUCAACCGUAAAACUGCAGUUGAUACUGGCAGUCUUGAGUACAGUAGAGGGGGGCGGAAUUCGUGGUGUAGCGGUGAAAGGCUUAGAUAUCACGAAGAACUCCGAUUGCGAAGGCAGUUCACUGGACUGCAACUGACACUGAGGCUCGAAAGUGUGGGUAUCAAACAGGAUUAGAUACCCGAGUAGUC